rnacentral:rRNA from 1 species
AGCGAACGCUGGCGGCAGGCCUAACACAUGCAAGUCGAACGAACCUUUCGGGGUUAGUGGCGGACGGGUGAGUAACACGUGGGAACGUGCCUUUAGGUUCGGAAUAACUCAGUGAAACUUGUGCUAAUACCGAAUGUGCCCUUCGGGGGAAAGAUUUAUCGCCUUUAGAGCGGCCCGCGUCUGAUUAGCUAGUUGGUUGAGGUAAUGGCUCACCAAGGCGACGAUCAGUAGCUGGUCUGAGAGGAUGAUCAGCCACAUUGGGACUGAGACACGGCCCAAACUCCUACGGGAGGCAGCAGUGGGGAAUCUUGCGCAAUGGGCGAAAGCCUGACGCAGCCAUGCCGCGUGAAUGAUGAAGGUCUUAGGAUUGUAAAAUUCUUUCACCGGGGACGAUAAUGACGGUACCCGGAGAAGAAGCCCCGGCUAACUUCGUG